UACGUAGGGGGCAAGCGUUGUCCGGACUUACUGGGCGUAAAGCGCGUGCAGGCGGAUUGGUAUGUGCCGUGUGAAAGCUCCCAGCUUGCCUGGGAGAGGUCGCGGUAGACAGCCGAUCUGGAGGCUCGGAGAGGUUAGUGGAAUUCCCGGUGUAGUGGUGAAAUGCGUAGAGAUCGGGAGGAACACCAGUGGCGAAGGCGGCCCUCUGGGCCGGGCCUGACGCUGAGACGCGAGGGCGUGGGGAGCGAACGGG
rnacentral:rRNA from 1 species